GUGGGGAAUCUUCCGCAAUGGGCGAAAGCCUGACGGAGCAACGCCGCGUGAACGAUGAAGGUCUUAGGAUCGUAAAGUUCUGUUGUUAGGGACGAAGGAUAAGGAUUAUAAUACAGUCUUUGUUUGACGGUACCUAACGAGGAAGCCACGGCUAACUACGUGCCAGCAGCCGCGGUAAUACGUAGGCGGCAAGCGUUGUCCGGAAUUAUUGGGCGUAAAGGGAGCGCAGGCGGGAAACUAAGCGGAUCUUAAAAGUGCGGGGCUCAACCCCGUGAUGGGGUCCGAACUGGUUUUCUUGAGUGCAGGAGAGGAAAGCGGAAUUCCCAGUGUAGCGGUGAAAUGCGUAGAUAUUGGGAAGAACACCAGUGGCGAAGGCGGCUUUCUGGACUGUAACUGACGCUGAGGCUCGAAAGCUAGGGUAGCGAACGGGAUUAGAAACCCUAGUAGUCCC
rnacentral:rRNA from 1 species